GCCCGGCUAGCUCAAUCGGUAGAGCGUGAGACUCUUAUGAAGUUCUCCAGCAAAUCUCAAGGUUGUGGGUUCGACCCCCACGUCGGGCU